rnacentral:rRNA from 1 species
UGGGGAAUAUUGCACAAUGGGGAAACCCUGAUGCAGCGACGCCGCGUGAACGAAGAAGGUAUUCGUAUCGUAAAGUUCUGUCCUAUGGUAAGAUAAUGACAGUACCAUAGAAGAAAGCUCCGGCUAAAUACGUGCCAGCAGCCGCGGUAAUACGUAUGGAGCGAGCGUUGUCCGGAAUUAUUGGGCGUAAAGGGUACGCAGGCGGUUUAAUAAGUCGAAUGUUAAAGAUCGGGGCUCAACCCCGUAAAGCAUUGGAAACUGAUAAACUUGAGUAGUGGAGAGGAAAGUGGAAUUCCUAGUGUAGUGGUGAAAUACGUAGAUAUUAGGAGGAAUACCAGUAGCGAAGGCGACUUUCUGGACACAAACUGACGCUGAGGUACGAAAGCGUGGGGAGCAAACAGG